rnacentral:misc_RNA from 1 species
CGGUUGGUUGGCUCCAUUGCACAGGU